rnacentral:rRNA from 1 species
GUUAAGCGACUAAGCGUACACGGUGGAUGCCCUGGCAGUCAGAGGCGAUGAAGGACGUGCUAAUCUGCGAUAAGCGUCGGUAAGGUGAUAUGAACCGUUAUAACCGGCGAUUUCCGAAUGGGGAAACCCAGUGUGUUUCGACACACUAUCAUUAACUGAAUCCAUAGGUUAAUGAGGCGAACCGGGGGAACUGAAACAUCUAAGUACCCCGAGGAAAAGAAAUCAACCGAGAUUCCCCCAGUAGCGGCGAGCGAACGGGGAGGAGCCCAGAGCCUGAAUCAGUGUGUGUGUUAGUGGAAGCGUCUGGAAAGGCGCGCGAUACAGGGUGACAGCCCCGUACACAAAAAUGCACAUGCUGUGAGCUCGAUGAGUAGGGCGGGACACGUGGUAUCCUGUCUGAAUAUGGGGGGACCAUCCUCCAAGGCUAAAUACUCCUGACUGACCGAUAGUGAACCAGUACCGUGAGGGAAAGGCGAAAAGAACCCCGGCGAGGGGAGUGAAAAAGAACCUGAAACCGUGUACGUACAAGCAGUGGGAGCAUGCUUAGGCGUGUGACUGCGUACCUUUUGUAUAAUGGGUCAGCGACUUAUAUUCUGUAGCAAGGUUAACCGAAUAGGGGAGCCGAAGGGAAACCGAGUCUUAACUGGGCGUUAAGUUGCAGGGUAUAGACCCGAAACCCGGUGAUCUAGCCAUGGGCAGGUUGAAGGUUGGGUAACACUAACUGGAGGACCGAACCGACUAAUGUUGAAAAAUUAGCGGAUGACUUGUGGCUGGGGGUGAAAGGCCAAUCAAACCGGGAGAUAGCUGGUUCUCCCCGAAAGCU